ACUGCUGGCACCGUUGAAAACAACAUUUGGCAUUGGCAUGAGUGACUAAAGGUUUGGCUAAAGCAGCCUGGCUAUAUAUAUUGACCCUGCGGAGCUUCCAAUUAACAGUUUUGGUGGAAACAGGAGAGUUGAGGUGCACUUUUAUUUCUGCAAUGAGUUCGGCAGUUGUGAUUGGCCCCCAGGCUGAUCAAAUUUAGCCUUGAAACCGCAAACACUAAAUUGACCAAUGUUUCAAUUUCACUGUCCAACCACUGU
ensembl:processed_transcript